UACGUAGGGAGCAAGCGUUGUCCGGAAUCAUUGGGCGUAAAGCGCGCGUAGGUGGCCUCAUAAGUCCGCUGUGAAAGUCAAAGGCUCAACCUUUGAAAGCCGGUGGAUACUGUGGGGCUAGAGUACGGAAGAGGCGAGUGGAAUUCCUGGUGUAGCGGUGAAAUGCGCAGAUAUCAGGAGGAACACCGAUUGCGAAGGCAGCUCGCUGGGACGUUACUGACGCUGAGACGCGAAAGCGUGGGGAGCAAACAGG
rnacentral:rRNA from 1 species